GACGAACGCUGGCGGCGUGCUUAACACAUGCAAGUCGAACGGAAAGGCCCUGCUUUUGUGGUGUGCUCGAGUGGCGAACGGGUGAGUAACACGUUAGUAACCUGCCCUUGACUUUGGGAUAACUUCAGUAAACUGGGGCUAAUACCGGAUAGGAGCUCCUGCUGCAUGGUGGGGGUUGGAAAGUUUCGGAGGUUGGGGAUGGACUCUCGGCUUAUCAGCUUGUUGGUGGGGUAGUGUCUUACCAAGGCUUUGACGGGUAGCCGGCCUGAGCGGGUGACCGGCCACAUUGGGACUGAGAUACGGCCCAGAAUCCUACGGGAGGCAGCAGUGGGGAAUAUUGCACAAUGGGCGGAAGCCUGAUGCAGCAACGCCGCGUGCGGGAUGAAGGCCGUCGGGUUGUAAACCGCUUUCGCCUGUGACGAAGCGUGAGUGACGGUAAUGGGUAAAGAAGCACCGGCUAACUACGUG
rnacentral:rRNA from 1 species